CCUACGGGUGGCAGCAGUGGGGAAUAUUGGACAAUGGGCGAAAGCCUGAUCCAGCCAUGCCGCGUGUGUGAAGAAGGCCUUCGGGUUGUAAAGCACUUUCAGUGGGGAAGAAAGCCUUGGGGCUAAUACCCUCGAGGAAGGACAUCACCCACAGAAGAAGCACCGGCUAACUCCGUGCCAGCAGCCGCGGUAAUACGGAGGGUGCGAGCGUUAAUCGGAAUUACUGGGCGUAAAGCGCGCGUAGGCGGUCUGAUAAGCCGGUUGUGAAAGCCCCGGGCUCAACCUGGGAACGGCAUCCGGAACUGUCAGGCUAGAGUGCAGGAGAGGAAGGUAGAAUUCCCGGUGUAGCGGUGAAAUGCCUAGAGAUCGGGAGGAAUACCAGUGGCGAAGGCGGCCUUCUGGACUGACACUGACGCUGAGGUGCGAAAGCGUGGGUAGCAAACAGGAUUAGAUACCCGGGUAGUC
rnacentral:rRNA from 1 species